ACUUUUCCUCUCUCUUCUUUUUGAGAACAAUUUUCGCGAGAAGCUAUCACGUGGGAGGCCCCUUUAAGUUGCCGUUGACGGAGGCCCGAGCGUGUCACAUGGACAUGAUAUCAUGACCGGGCAGGAACACAGUGAGCGAGGGAGCGAGGCCACUUCUUCUUCUUGGGCAAAACGCGCGCUGUCAUUUGACGACCGUGCUGGGACGAGGAUCGCCGGAUUCGGACUUGUCGAAUAUAAUACAAAUCCACCUGCCAACAGCUGUGACGCGCUUUAAAAAAACAACCCACGGAGGAAAACAUCGGUCCCGGAGCAGCGCCUUUUGGAGUGUGAGUGAAGUUAUUUCUCGUCGCUGAUGUGCGCCACACGGCUGUGCGCUUCUGCUGCAGCGCUGCAAUGCAUGCUAGGAGGCAUGCUGGAUCAUAACAUCGUUGAAAGCAGCUGGCAGAAGAGGUUGACUGUCUCCCUCAAGAGAACAAUGAUGGCCAAAUGAAGCAUCUUGAAUCAAUAAAGCUUUGGAGCUAAUUGGUUCAAACUUCAUGGUGGUUAAUUUGGUCUUAUGACAGUCUUAUGAUGCCGCUGUUACCGGUGUUCAGCCAUUCCUUACUACGCGGCGAAACGUCCUACACAUUGCUCAGCGCGCUUGCGCAAGCAUCCGCACGCAUGCGCAAGUCGGUUAGAGGCGGCGAGUACUCACUAUUUUUGUUUUAUUCCGUUUUUUAGAACCCUUCAUUGCCUCAAAAAUACUUUUUGCAUGUAUUACCCUCGCAUACUUUUAACCAUUGUGUUUUUUUGUGUAGAUGCUUUGAAGCAGUUAACCACAUUAGUCACAUAGUGUAUUUAAAACGUCCUUAUUUGAUAUAACUACAUUUAAGUAUUUUCGUAAGGCAUUUUUUUAGUACGUUAUGCCUGUAUGCAUCUAAAAAAAACAUGUUUAGAGCGCACGGUAGUACUUUGAGUGCCAAAUUCGACUAAUGUAGGACGUUUCGCCGAUGUAGCAGAUCUUGGCAGAACACCGGUUGAUAUAUUUUGGUGUAAAUAUCCCAUAUUACAGCGAGGAUAGCUGCGGUAUAUAGUCCAGUGCGGUUUAUGAAUGAACAAAUGUCGUUUUUGUGUCAAAUUUGGUGGGUGGCGGCUUAUAGUCAGGUGCGCCUUAUAGUGCGAAAUUACGGUAUAUAUUUGAACUCUUUAUAUAAUGAAAUAAGGUUGCUUAAAAGUUGGAGGGGACAAUUUGAGCAUCCUAAAAAGUUGCUCGUGUUAUCUCCCUAUCGUCCCUAUGCAAACUUAAGCCCUUGCGUGAAAUGUAAAUGAUUGGCAUUGGAUUUCAGCCCAGUUUAAAUUCAUUAGACAAGAGCCACAUGUGGCUCUGGAGCCGCGGGUUGCACACUGUCAAUUGUACUUAAAGAGUAGGGGAUUGACAAAAUAUCGAAAUGGUGAUAUAUCAUGAUACUUUGUAUCCCAAAAGGUUAUCGAUAUGCUCCUGCCAAGAAUUGAGAUAUCGUUUUAAGAAGGUAUCAAUCUCUAAAAAAAUUAAUUAAAAUGAACCAACAAGUUGCUACCAAAAUAUCCCACCAUAAUAGAGUCUCAGUUAACUCUAAGGUUGCCAUUGACGGUGCUCGACGCCCAAUCCAUUCAAAACUAGAGCAUUCACAGUCAUUCGGUCCGAUUUUCGGGGCACUUGCUGUUCAUUUUAGGGUAAUUACAGGUCAAUUUCCAGUUGAGUUUGAGUCACUGCCUAUUCAUUUGGGUGAUUCCCAGGUCAUUUCCUGUUCUGUAACUCAAAAUAAACAGGAAGUGACCCAUAAAAUACCCCAAAAUCAAAUGGAAAAUGAUCUUUAAUGGCUCAAAAUUACCUCAUUGACUAGCAUUGGCUGCCACCGACGGCCAUAGACGUCCAAUCCGUUUGAAGUGGGAGGGUGGCAGCGAAUGAACGAACGUUCAUUCGCUGCCACCCUUCCACUUCAAAUGAAUUGGACGUCUACUAGUGAUAAACUCAAUCCAAUUCACAGCAUUACUAUUCAAUUUAUGGUGAUUUUGGUUGUUGUGGAGUCAUUCAGAUGGCAUCCAGAAGCUGCCACAUUUUUUUCUCACUUGUGUCAACAAACCGCAGCGACAAGCCUCGAAACGCCAUUAUUCAAACAUGACUUGAAAUGAGGAACUAGUCAAGCUGUUCGCCUUCCUAUUUCUUUUUUUUUAAUCAAUGCCGUUUCUUUCUUAAAAGUACAAACGCACAGUUUCGUGUUAUUUCAGUUUUUUUGCAAUAAGCUCGAAAAAUAUGCCUGGAAUGGCACACAUGUGUUAGAAGAACCCUCUCGUAAACAUAGUAACAAAAUGUGGCCAAACGAGUCCGAGCAGUGAGCCUCGCAUGACAAUAAAAUGUGCAAUAAUCCCGAGGUAUUAACCCACGUUAAUCCUGCAGUGUUUGCCUCCGUGACUGAUAAAUCUGUCACCCUUAGGAAGCAAAUUUAUUUCUAAUCUAAUGUAAAAUGGAUUCCACCUAGAGCUGUUAGGAUGGAAGAGUCCAUAUCAGAAGUGCUACCUGUAGCAAUUUCUAUUGAGACACACAAUGCCUGAGCCAUAGACUUCAUAAAAUAUUGACAUGACACGGGGCGUAGGGGUCCUAUUUUCAAAAACUUCAAGUUCCAAUAUUUUCAAAACCAAAGCUGCUACCGACCUAAAACCAAAACAGGCACAUAAAUUAGCCACACAUGAGUCUCCAUGAGCAGCGGCAACAAAAAUUCGCAAAGUCAUUCGCUUAUAAAAUCUCGAUUAAUUAUUGUUAUAUCGGUAUAAUAAAACUGAAAAUGGCUAUAAAAUUCUCAGAUUUUACACAAGAUACACAAAAAUCACCAAAUGCAAAGAUAAUCACCUAUAUUUUCAGGAUCAAUAGCAAUAUUUAACAUAUAAGUUUUUGCCCAAAAUAGCAACUUAAAUGUUUUUCAACAGCUAAGAAAUCACUCAGUUUUCACAUCAGAAGCUUAAUACUUGAGGAAAACAUGCUAAAUCAAUUAUAAAGAAUUUAUAAAUAGAUUAUAAAUAAAUUCUAUAUGCAAUCACAACUUAUUAUAGAAUAGAAUAGCCCUUUAUUGUCAUGAUACAGUUGUAUAGUUAGUUAUAUCGUUGUAGUGUAUGAAGCUAGCGGCCGCCUAACAUAAACAGAACAAUUCUUGUGACUAAAUGUUUAAAUCCCCGAAUUCUUCAUAGAUAUGGACGUAAAACAGUCUCGAUUCUUGGUUAAAAGCUAAGAAACCGUGCAGGUAGCGUUAAUUUUAUGUAAAUAUGUCGAAGUACAAUGCUACUCUGUUAGCGAAUGAGGCUAGCGGAUGCCUGACAUAAACAGCUUUCCUGGUGAAAAUUCUUGUGAAUAAAUGUUUAAAUCCCCGAAUUCUUCAUAGAUAUGGACGUAAAACAGUCUCGAUUAUUGGUUAAAAGCAAAGAAACUGCGGUUAGCGUUUAUUUUACGUAAAUAUGUCGAAGUAUAAUGCUACUCUGUUAGCGAAUGAGGCUAGCGGCUGCCUGACACAAACAGAGCUUUUCUGGCAGAAUUACUUGUGAAUAAAUGCUUAAAUCCCCGAAUUGUUCAUAGAUAUGGACGUAAAACAGUCUCGAUUCUUGGUUAAAAGCAAAGAAACCGUGCAGUUAGCGUUUACUUUUUGUAAAUAUGUCGAAGUACAAUGCUAUUCUGUUAGCAAAUGAGUGUGAAGGGCAGGGGUCCCCAAACUACGGCCCGCCUCCACAUUUGGGCCGGCCCCCUGAACAAUACCAGAGAGCAUUUUGAAAUUUUUUUUUCUCAAUAGUGUUAUUUAUUUCCUGGCCUUUUUCUGUGAAGAACUCAGAGAGGGUUAUUUGGUUAUUAUCUAUUUAAUUAAUAGUGUUAUUAUUAUUUAUUAUCAUUUAGGGCUGCAGCUAUCGAUUAUUUUAGUAGUCGAUUAAUCGAUUAACUAGUUAGUUCGAAUAAUCGAGUAAUCGGAUAAGGAACAUAAAAAAAUAAAAUACCUGACCUGCGCCUCAAACAGUAUAAACAAAUGAAUAAAUGAGGAUAUAUGGACAACAAAAGAACAAUUGGCAAACUUACAUAACAAAAGUCAGCUAGCUUAAAUGCUAUAAAAUGCCAACUUUUUAAAAAAUCUCUUAAGAAAUAGUGCAAACACAUAUUCCCACAAAUAAACGGCUAUAUGUACUUUUAAACUAAAUUAAAAAUGCAUAAAAAGAAAAAAAAUAGCUCAAACAAAAACUCAGCUUAUGUUGGUCUUAACAGGGAGCAGCUGGGGAAAUUGGGCAGACUAGAGCGCAGCAUAUCCACCCAAAUUGAUUAAAUUAAAUUCAAACACUUUCAAAACAAACCAUGACAAUGCCACUUUAAACUAGGGCUGUCAAAAUUAUUAUGUUAACGGACGGUAAUUAAUUUUUUAAAUUAAUCACGUUAAAAUAUUUGACGCAAUUAACGCAGAUGCCCCGCUCAGACAGAUUUAAAUGACAGUACAGUGAAACGCUCACUUGUGUUGUGUUUUAUGGAGUUUUGCCGCCCUCUGCUGGCACUUAGGUGCGACUGAUUUUAUAGGCUUUAUCACCCAUGAGCAUUGUCUAAGUAAUUAUUGACAUCAACAAUGGCAGGCUACUAGUUUAUUUUUUGAUUGAAAAUUUUACAAAUUUUAUUAAAACGAAAACAUUAAGAGGGGUUUUAAUUAGGGGUGUCAAAAUUAUCGCGUUAACGGGCGGUAAUCAAUAUUUUUUAUUUAUCACGUUAAAAUAUUUGACGCAAUUAACGCACAUGUCCAGCUCAGACAGAUUUAAAUGUCAGUAGAGUGAAAUGCCCACUUGUUAAUUGUGUUUUAUGGAGUUUUGCCGCCCUCUGCUGGCGCUUGGGUGCGACUGAUUUUAUAGGCUUCAGCACCCAUGAGCAUUGUGUAAGUAAUUAUUUACAUCAAUAAUGACGGGCUACUAGUUUAUUUUUUGAUUGAAAAUUUUACAAAUUUUAUUAAAACGAAAACAUUAAGAGGGGUUUUAAUAAUAAAAUUUCUAUAACUUGUACUAACAUUUAUCUUUUAAGAACUACAAGUCUUUCUAUCCAUGGAUCGCUUUAACAGAAUGUUAAUAAUUUUAAUGCCAUCUUGUUGAUUUAUUGUUAUAAUAAACAAAUACAGUCCUUGUGUACCGUAUGUUGAAUGUAUAUAUCCGUCUUGUGUCUUAUCUUUCCAUUCCAACAAUAAUUUACAGAAAAAUAUGGCAUAUUUUAUAGAUGAUUUGAAUUGCGAUUAAUUGCGAUUAAUUACGAUUAAUUAAUGUUUAAGCUGUAAUUAACUCGAUUAAAAAUUUUAAUCGUUUGACAGCCCUAGUCACAAUAUACAAACUCACAUUUAUCCUUUAAGAAUUACAAAUCUUUCUAUGCGUGGAUCCCUUUCACAGAAAGAAUGUUAAUAAUGUUAAUGCCAUCUUGUGGAUUUAUUGUUAUGAUAAACAAAAACAGUACUUAUGUACAGUAUGUUGAAUGUAUAUAUCCGUCUUGUCUUAUCUUUCCAUUCCAACAAUAAUUUACAGAAAAAUAUGGCAUAUUUUAGAGAUGAUUUGAAUUGCGAUUAAUUGCGAUUAAUUACGAUUAAUUAAUUUUUAAGCUGUGAUUAACUCGAUUAAAAUUUUUAUUCGUUUGACAGCCCUAGUUAAAUGUACGCCUUAUGCCUAAUAUAUACAUAACACAAUAAAACAGAAUUGUUGUGGAACUCAAAAUGUUGACUGGACAGUUAUGGACUAUGCACAUUAAAUCAUUAGUAACAUCAAAUAUUACACAAUACACCAAAGUAUAUCAGUAGCCAUGUCCUUAAGUCUUUCUGAUAGUUUUCCCCUGACCUUUUUACUGCAAUAAUAUAGUGAAAACCUGAAAUUACGGCUUUUAGUUUUGGCCACCCCAAGAUUUUAAGUGGCCCCAUCUGGCCACCCCUAUGAAAAAUUUCUGGAGGCGCCACUGACAACAUGGCCUUUGCAUGAUCCUGUUUGCCUGUUUUCAGCACACGCGUUACAAAAGACAGGCCCUUCCCGUGUGCGUCACGCACCCCGCGUGCACUCAGCCGGUCGUUUACGCUCACGUUGUUUCAACAAAUAGAUCAGUUUCAUUCAGUUCUAAAUGAGCCAGGAGUCACUACACCCAGCUGUUUCUCUGGUUAUUUGUAGCCUAUUCGGUGUAUUUUUGCUGAAUAACUGGUCUAAAUGGGACAUUUUUUUUUUCUUCGACAAAUGAACAUGAUGUGUCUCAAUAUGAACAGCCAGCUGUGAAAGUUGCAUUUCCGCUGGGUUUUAUGUGGUCAUAAUUAGCGCCUCCCAUGUGACAGCGAGAGGGAGAGAGCGUCUGCGUGCGAAUACAAUACGAGCCGGGUGUGCUUGUGUUUACAUGACAGCCGAGCAGCAACGGAAGUGACGCGGGAAGCGGCUUUAAAGGGAAGGCGGCCCCGUUGCAGACAAGGAGUGAGAGGACAGGAAGGUUUAGGACAAUGUUGCGGGAUAAAACAUGAUACAGGGACAAUAACGCCGAUUGCUUGUUUUGUUGUGACGGUCAAACGCGCAAACAACGAAUGAGUCAUCGGUCACGGCGCUUUGGCCCCGAGGCCGCUUUUGAUUAUGAAAUGUGUUUACCCACCCGCUCACUAUAAAAGUAGUGACACAGGGUUGUGUUUGUUCAGAGCUUGGCCUGUUCCAAUCCGGAGCCAACUUUCCCCAGCUUGCUAUUCACAGUGACCUCAUCAUCUCUCUGGCGUGUUUCCCUGCCCAACUGGAGCCCUCUCAAACUUUCUUGGCUGUGAAAGUUUCAUAAACAAAUUCAGCAGUUGACUCUUGAGUCAUGAUUCCAUCAAAAAUAUGUUGAUUAACAUGAGAUGGAAGUUACCAAAGACGACUGGGUUUUGAGGUACGCCUGAUUAACACUCUCAUUGCUAUUGACAGCCAUGUACAGUGCGGCAAAUAAGUUUAGUCAACCACCAAUUGUCCAAGUUCUUAUUAGAGAGGCCUGUAAUUGUCAACAUGAGUAAACGUCAACCAUGAGAGACAGAAUGUGGAAAAAAAAAAAAAAAAACAGAAAAUCACAUUGUUUGAUUUUUACUAGCGAUGUCCCGAUCACGUCAUUUUCAAAGUAUCGGAAUCGGCAAAAAAAUAUCGGACAUGCCUUUUUUUAAGAUAUAUAUAUUUUUUAAUUAAAUCAUUUUCUAACUGUAUUUAACGUUACAGACAUAAUAUGUUACACUCAUCCAGAGUCUUUAGUUUAGGCUUAAGGUAGGGUUAUCAAAUUUAUCCCGUUAACGGCGGUAAUUAAAUUAUCGUAAAAUUUAUUACGUUAAAAUAUUUAACGCAUUUAACGCAUGCGCUGCAUGACCCACUCACGCAUUGCCGCGUUCAAUCUGUAAUGGCGCCGUUUUACCUAUAUAUUGAGCUUAAAGGCAGCGUAAAAGGAGUAGAGUGAAUUUUGGCAGCCUUUGGAGCCUUUUUUUAAUUGGCUAAAGCCUUACAAUCCCUCUCCCUACAAUUAGAAAUAUCGUGGGAAGCAAUGUGGGGAAGAAAGGUAGUAAUUGAUCUUUUUCUGAACACACUAUGUUAUUUCCCAACUUAGAGAAGAUAUAUCAAUUGGUACCACUUCGCAUAGUCAUGGCUGCACUUCCCAUCAUGCAUUUGGGCAGAACAGUUAAAUGGCUACAGUAUCAUUUACUGAAAGCUCAACAAAUACACUAGAUGGCAAUAUUUAGUCACAAUAUACAAAGUCACAUUUAUCCUUUAAGAAUUACAAGUCUUUCUAUCCGUGGAUCCCUCUCACAGAAAGAAUGUAAAUGCCAUCUUGAGGAUUUAAUAAACAAUAUAAUAAACAAAUGUAAUACUUAUGUACUGUAUGUUGAAUGUAUAUAUUCGUCCGAGUUUUAUUCAUUUUUUUUCUUAAUGCAUUGCCAAAAUGUAUAUGAUCGGGAAAAAUUAUCGGGAAUGAUUAGAAUUGAAUUGGGAGCAAAAAAAAAAAAAAAAAAAAAAAAAAAAAAAGCAAUCGGAUUGGGAAAUAUCGGGAUUGGCAGAUACUCAAAUUAAAACGAUCGGGAUCGGAUCGGGAGCAAAAAAACAUGAUUGGAACAACCCUAAUUUUUACAGAAUUUAUUUCCAAAUUAGAGUGGAAAAUAAGCAUUUGGUCACCUACAAACAAGCAAGAUUUCUGGCUGUCAAAGAGGUCUAACUUCUUCUAACGAGGUCUAACGAGGCUCCACUCGUUACCUGUAUUAAUGGCACCUGUUUUAACUAUCGGUAUAAAAGACACCUGUCCACAACCUCAGUCAGUCACACUCCAAACUCCACUAUGCUCAAGACCAAAGAGCUGUCGAAGGACACCAGAGACAAAAUUGUAGGCCUGCACCAGGCUGGGAAGACUGAAUCUGCAUUAGGUAAAACGCUUGGUGUAAAGAAAUCAUCUGUGGGAGCAAUUAUUAGAAAAUGGAAGACAUAGAAGACCACUGAUAAUCUCCCUCGAUCUGGGGCUCCAUGCAAGAUCUCACCCCGUGGCGUCAAAAUGAUAACAAGAACGGUGAGCAAAAAUCCCAGAACCACACGGGGUGACCUAGUGAAUGACUUACAGAGAGCUGGGACCACAGUAACAAAGGCUACGAUCAGUAACUCAAUGCACCGCCAGGGACUCAAAUCCUGCACUGCCAGACGUGUCCCCCUGCUGAAGAAAGUACACGUCCAGGCCUGUCUGCAGUUCGCUAGAGAGCAUUUGGACGAUCCAGAAGAGGACUGGGAGAAUGUGUUACGGUCAGAUGAAACCAAAAUAGAACUUUUUGGUAAAAAUACAGGUUCUCGUGUUUGGAAGAGUAAGAAUACUGAAUUGCAUCCGAAGAACACCAUACCCACUGUGAAGCAUGGGGAUGGAAACAUCAUGCUUUGGGGCUGUUUUUCUGCAAAGGGACCAGGACGACUGAUCUGUGUAAAGGAAAGAAUGAAUGGGGCCAUGUAUCGAGAGAUUUUGAGUGAAAAUCUCCUUCCAUCAGCAAGGGCAUUGAAGAUGAGAUGUGGCUGGGUCUUUCAGCAUGACAAUGAUCCCAAACACACAGCCAGGGCAACAAAGGAGUGGCUUCGUAAGAAGCAUUUCAAGGUCCUGGAGUGGCCUAGCCAGUCUCCAGAUCUCAACCCAACAGAAAAAUCUGUGGAUGCAGUUGAAAGUUCGUGUUGCCGGCAUCCCGGGCGUCCUACCGGUUGUACUGCUCGGUUGACUGCUGCCUGACAACCAUUCGGUCGUCUUCCGCCGGCGCCCGGCUGUGCGGCUUGGCCGUUUGUUGCUGUUGAAUCGGUUUUGCGGGUCUUACCAAAUGCGCUACUGCACUCCAGUGGCCAGUUCCAUUGCUUUUAAAUGGAUUUUCAGCUUUGUGCUUUGGAGCUAAAUUGAAUCAUGACCCACAGAUGUCCUUUUAGAAAAAAAAACAAACAAAAAAACAACAACGUAAAUAACGUAUAAAUACGUGUUUGGGACACUGAAACAAUUACAAAUAGAACAUAUUUAUACGUUUUUGGGAGCAAAUGAGAUAACAUGCAUUUUGGUGCAUUUUUUUCAAAUGUCGUUCAGCCAUAAUGUCCAAUCCAUUUUGAGUUGGAGGCUUUGUUUAAAAGAACUAACUUAUCGUGAUAAAUACAGUACAUACAGUCAUAUAAAAUUGAUCAACUCUUUUCGAUGUACCGUUUUGCUUAGGGGUGCACGAUAUCCAUUUUUUGAAACCGAUACCGAUAUCGAUAACUUCCUGCUCCUUAAGGCCGAUACCGAUACGAUAAUCGAUAAUAUAUAUAUAUAUAUAAUUUUUCAAUGUAAAUUCACCUGAGUUUUUGAACACCUGUCGGUAAAAAAUACUAGUGGUGGAUUCAGCAUAGAUUUGCCUUUGACCUAACCAGAAUUUUCAUGAUGACAUGAACAGGAGUUACGUGAUUUUUAUCAUCAUGUAAAAACAUGAUAUCUAUGAUGUACAAAUUAUUAUGACGUCAUCCCAAUAAAUCCAAUAACAUUAUAUAGGUAUGUAAACAGGAGUGGAAACAAACGCACACAUUCCAAUCCACCGACACCGUCCCAAAAUUAAUAUUAAUAGGCCCGAAUUGGGCCGCCCGAUAAUUUACAAUGUUAUUGGAUUUAAUGGGAUGACGUCAUAAUUCCUAUUAUCGGACCGAUAAUUAUCGGACCGAUAAUGAUCGUGCACCUCUAGUUUUGCUCAAAGGAAUGGUUGUCAUUCUGAAGUUUGGCAUUUUUCAGCAACAAAAUUGUCAAUAACAUCAACAUUGCUUUGUAUUUUUCAUUGCUUUAAAUGAAAUGUGAGCAAUUGUCAUAUUAAGACAUUCUGGGAAAUCCUUGAAUGGAAUAGCGGCAGGCUUUGUAAUAUCGUCAUGAAAUUGGUGAUUCACAGCCCUAUAAAUGUCAAAUUUGACCCACAUUUUAGCGCUGAAACAUUCAUAAAUUAAGAUUAAACCAGAUUGCAUCCACAGUUGUCAGCAUGACCUUUGAUUGAUAUUGUGUAAGGAUUGCCUUACAUCACAGUAAUCUUAUUGUGUAUAGUAUUUGUCCACGUUGUACCACGGAAUAAUGAAGCAAGUGUCUGAAGAGGAAGUGGUGUAAUGAUUACACUCCAUGUGAGCCAUAAAAGUGAACUGCGAGGUAUUUUAGGAUGUGUGAUGCAAGAAAACGAUAACGUUGUACAAUAUAUCACUUUUGGGGUAUUUUUUCUGUAUUGAUACAUUAGAACGGCCUGCUUUCGAGAGGUAAAUUCGAUUCUUGGAAUAACAAGACAGCAAAAGACUGAUAUUUUACCAUUGAGACAAAUUUGAAGCGGCAAAUUGGGAUGGUAAAGGUUGCGGCGGGGAUGCGUCGCGGUCGGAAAGGGGAUAAUAUUAGAGCAGGGACAGAUUGCUUCAGCGCCGCAAAGUAGGCCAAAGGCGCAAGGGAGUGUCACAUGAGCCGGCGCCGCUAUGUUAGCUAUUCUCUAGCGUCUUGUUCAGCUGGAGAUGGGAAAAGAGAUGGAGAGAGAAGGCCUCGCAUGCGUCAUGUUUCCCAUGCCGUCUGGAGUCCGCACAUGACACUCAAAACCACUUGUCGACAAGAGGAAGUGUUCCUUUUCCUUGGCUCGGGGACUGCGGCGACCUUUUUCCUGAAGUGCCUUUGCGGGUGCAGGAGGUCAGCAAAGGGGGAAGAAUUUCUUCAGGGGCUAUUGAAAGUUAAUAUUGGGAAGUGAGUGGCAUUGAGUUAGCUAACUAGUUUUAUGAACGCUAAACGUGGUGCAUGUACAGUGUAGGGUUGCAGCUAUCGAAUAUUUUAGUAAUCGAGUAAUCGACUGAAAAUUCUAUCGAUUAAUCGAGUAAUCGGAUAAAACAUUUUUAGGUGAAGAGCAAUUUUAAAUAUACAUGAGAAAACAAGACAUUUCAUCUAAUCUUGAACCAUUUUCAGUCAAUCAAUGUCUUUAUUUUCGAUGUAUAUUGUUGAAAACAGCCAACAAUUGCAUCUCAGAUGUAACUAGAAUUAAAAAAAAAAAAAAAGACUAAUUCACUGCUUUCACUCAAAAAAACUUUAUCUUAUUUAAAAAAAAAAAAAAAAAUUCUAAUCGAGUUAAUUACAGCUUAAAAAUUAAUUAAUCGUAAUUAAUCGCAAUUAAUCGCAAUUCAAACCAUCUAUAAAAUAUGCCAUAUUUUUCUGUAAAUUAUUUUUGGAAUGGAAAGACAAGACAAGAUGAAUAUAUACAUUCAACAUACGGUACAUAAGGACUGUAUUUGUUUAUUAUAACAAUAAAUCAACAAGAUGGCAUUAACAUUAUUAACAUUCUGUUAAAGCGAUCCAGAAAGACUUGUAGUUCUUAAAAGAUAAAUGUUAGUACAAGUUAUAGAAAUUUUAUAUUAAAACCCCUCUUCAUGUUUUCGUUUUAAUAAAAUUUGUAAAAUUUUCAAUCAAAAAAUAAACUAGUAGCCCGUUAUUGUUGAUGUCAAUAAUUAUUUAAACAAUGCUCAUCGGUGCUGAAGCCUAUAAAAUCAGUCGCACCCAAGCGCCAGCAGAGGGCAGCAAAACUCCGAAAAACACAACAACUACACCUUUCACUGUGCUGUCAUUUUAAUCUGUUUGAGCGGGGCAUUUGUGCGUUAAUUGCGUCAAAUAUUUUACCGUGAUUAAUUAGAAAAAUUAAUUACCGCCCGUUAACGCGAUAAUUUUGACAGCCCCAAUCAAAAGCUCUAUUUGUCUUGUUGUUUAUCUUAUUUUGUAAAAGGAAAACAUUAUUCAUAUGUUUGGGAUGUAACUAAAGCAAAAAAUAGCUGUGUUAAAAGUCAAAGUUAUGUUUGAAAUGUAUGCUUUCACAAAAAGCUCAAUUUCUCCGUUUUUCAUUGGACAUUGCUCAAACUAAGCUUUUUUUCUAAUGCUGAUUUCUAAAGAAUGGAAAGAGAUAUGAACUAACUGUUUUUCCCGAUGAAAGAAGAGAGUCUAAUCUUUCUUUUGGUUUCUUUUGUUGUUAUCAUUUUGAAGCCAUGGGGUGAGAUCUUGGAUGGAGCCCCAGAUCGAGGGAGAUAAUCAGUGGUCUUGUAUAUCUUCCAUUUUCGAAUAAUUGCUCCCGCAGUUAUUUCUUCACACCAAGCGCUUUACCUAUUGCAGGUUAAGUCUUCCCAGCCUGAUGCAGUCUACAAUUUUGUCUCUGGUGUCCUUCGACAGCUCUUUGGUCUUGGCCAUAGUGGAGUUUGGAGUGUGACUGACUGAGGUUAUGGACAGGUGUCUUUGAUACCGAUAAUGAGUUGCAACAGGUGCCAUUAAUACAGGUGGAGCCUCGUUAGACCUCGUUAGAAGAAGUUAGACCUCUUUGACAGCAAGAAAUCUUGUUUGUAGGUGACUAAAUACUUAUUUUACACUCUAGUUUGGAAAUAAAUUAUUUAAAAAUCAAACACUGUGAUUUUUUUUUUUUCCACAUUCUGUCUCAUGGUUGAGGUUUACCCAUGUUGACAAUUAAAGGCUUCCCCUAAUCUUUUCAAGUAGGAGAACUUGCACAAUUGGUGGUUGACUAAAUACUAGGGUUGUUCCGAUCAUGUCUUUUUGCUCCUGAUCCGAUCCCGAUCGUUUUAGUUUGAGUAUCUGCCGAUCCCGAUAUUUCCCGAUCCGAUUGCUUUUUUUUUUUUUUUGCUCUCGAUUCAAUUCCAAUCAUUCCCGAUAAUUUUUCCCGAUCAUAUACAUUGGCAAUGCAUUAAGAAAAACAAUGAAUAAAAUACAUAAGUACUGUAUUUGUUUAUUAUGACAAUAAAUCCUCAAGAUGGCAUUUAAAUUAUUAACAUUCUUUCUGUGAGAGGGAUCCACGGAUAGAAAGACUUGUAAUUCUUAAAGGAUAAAUGUGACUUUGUAUAUUGUGACUAAAUAUUGCCAUCUAGUGUAUUUGUUGAGCUUUCAGUAAAUGAUACUGUAGCCAUUUAACUGUUCUGCCCAAAUGCAUGAUGGGAAGUGCAACCAUGACUGUGCAUAGUGGCACCAAUUGAUAUAUCUUCUCUGCGUUGGGAAAUAACAUAGGGUGUUAAGAAAAAGAUCAACUACUACCUUACUUUCCCACAUUGCUUCCCAAGAUAUUUCUAAUUGUUGAGAGGGGAUAGUAAGGCUUUAGCAAAUUAAAAAAAAGCUCCAAAGGCUGCCAAAAUUCACUCUACUCAUUUUACGCUGCCUUUUAGCUCUAUAUAUAGGUAAAACAGCACCAUUAUAGAUUGAACGCGACAAUGCGUGAGUGGGUCGUGCAGCGCAUGCGUUGAUUGCGUUAAAAACUUUAACGUCUUUAAUUUAAAAAAAAUUAAUUACCGCCGAUAACGCGAUAAAUUUGAUAGCCCUACUUUAAGCCAAAACUAAAGACUCUGGAUGAGUGUAACAUAUUAUUUCUGUAACGUUAAAUACAAUUAGAAAACGCUUUAAUUAAAAAAAAAUAAAAAAUUAAAAAAAGGAAUGUUCGAUAUUUUUUUGCCGAUUCCGAUACUUUGAAAAUGAUGUGAUCGGACAUCUUUCCUAAAUACUUAUUUGCCCCACUGUACUUAAAUAUCUGCAGAAAUGCGAGGGGUGUACUCACUUUUGUGAUACACUGUAAAUGGCAAGAAGGGGAAUAAGAAUACAUGAUGCCGACUGAGGGAAUUCCGCAUAAUUUGUCGUAGUGCGCAAGCUAGUAUUCUGUCUUCUGACAUCUUGACCAUCCGUCAUGCCUUACUAUCACUCAAUUUCCUCCUCUCGAUACUCUCCGACAGCAACUGCCCCGCACGUCCUCUAACCAAACGCAGUCCAUCCCCGAGGCAACAGGAGCACUGACACAGAAAGGAGUGAGAAAACGAAGCGGGCAAUGCAACGAGUCAGAGGACCACUCGGGCCUUUCAAACCUAGUCGAUAAUACCUCGGCUCUGUUUGUAUUCGGAUUGACUUCAAUCAAUACGGACGAUGACACCGUCAUGUAGCGGAGGAGUCGUAGCCUAACACAAACAUCUUUGUGCCUCGACGUGUCACUUCCUGGGGGAGAGAAUGGAACAGGAAGCCAGUGGAAGAGCGCCACGCCUCCACAGAGAAGCCUUUCUUUCCAAAUUGGUUUGUAUAUCUGUGCCAGUGAUGGUUUGAGAAAAAGAAAAAGCCUCUUGAAUGCUAAUUUUUACAGUGUUUUUUAAUGUGUGUACAAAUUGCCAUUUCCCACAUGCAACUCAAUUACAAACGUUUUAAAAUAUAUGGCGGAAAACACAGACAAGGCUGAAAAAGCAGUUUUUGCUCUUGCACCCAACUGCUGUAUUUUAAGCCAAAAGAACUGUUGUGCUUAAUAAAACAAUAUGUUUACAUGCUACCAUAGCAGAUUCAUGGCGCAUGAAGCCCCCAAACUAUUUUUAAUAUGCCCGUUUUACCCUGAAAACCCCCGUUUACAGACGUCGCGGAACCGCUUUUUUUUUUCAACCUAGCCAUAAAACGAAGGUAAUUAAUUAUAUUAUUCAAAAUGUUUGUCAUUUUUAGCUUCGAAUCAUUAAUUGAUAAUAUUUCGUAAAAAAAAAAAAAAAAAAAAAAAAGGACUUUAAAGAAUUUUUCACUCGCAUAUCUUAAACUUUUAAACAAAUUAUGUCACAAUGGAAAAAAAAUGGUGUCUGUAAAAAAGUCACGGAUAUUUACCUCAUAACUAUCGCUUAAUUGUAUGUUUUUGUUACUGUUGCUUUUUCUCCGAUAUGUUAGAUGAUAAAAAAUCGAUCCAAACAAAAAAAAAAAAAUUUUUUUUAAAGUUUAAAAUGGUAAAUAUAUGAAAAAGAACAUCUCGACCACUCCUUGAUGUCUGCGAUUUCUGAAUCGCGACCCUUGUUAUAUUACCAUGUUUCACCCAUAAAAUCCAGCUGUGGCCAUUCACAGCUGUGUCUUGACUCUCAGUGAUACAUGCUACAUGGAGUUUUUGGACCGAAACAAGGUAAGUACGCGAUAAUAUCUAGUUAAAGUCAUGGCGUCUGUAAUUCUGCUCUCGCCUUCGAAUAGGGUUUUGCCUGUUUAAAAAAAAUAAAAAAAAUUUAAAAUGCCCUCCUGUUCAAAAAUUUUCUUCACCCAGAAAAUCGAGAUUUUAAGCUUUCCAAUGAUGUAUUACACAUGCAUAUCGAACAAUUUUGAAAGUUGGCCAAAUUGGCUGUCUCAGAGCGGAACUUCAAGUCACCUGAGUGCUUUCCGCCAUAUCUAUAUACACUGCUGGCCAAAAAUAUUGGCACCCCUGAUAUUCUGUCAGAUAAUGCUCCAUUUCUCCCAGAAAAUGAUUGCAAUUACAAAUGCUUUGGUAGUAAUAUCUUCAUUUAUUUUGCUUGCAAUGAAAAAACACAAAAGAGAAAAAUUUUACACAAAACUACAAAAAUGGGCCGGACAAAAGUUUUGGCACCUUCAGCCGAAUGCUUGGUAGCACAACCUUAAGACAAAAUAACUAAACAAUCGCUUUUGGUAUCCAUCAAUGAGAUUCUUACAGGGCUCUGCUGGAAUUUUAGAGCAUUGUUCUUUGGCCAACUGUUCCAGCUCGCUGAGAUUUGAAGAGUGCCUUCUCCAAACUGCCAUUUUCAGAUCUCUCCAAGGUUUGCAUAGGGACGGUAGGGACAUAACACUACCAACAUUUCAGGAUGCUCAAAUUGUCCCCACCAACUUUUAAGCAACCUUAUUUGCAUUAUAUAAUGAAUUUAGUUAUAUACAGUGCCUUGCAAAAGUAUUCGGCCCCCUUGAACCUUGCAACCUUUCGCCACAUUUCAGGCUUCAAACAUAAAGAUAUAAAAUUUUAAUUUUUUGUCAAGAAUCAACAACAAGUGGGACACGAUCGCGAAGUGGAACAAAAUUUAUUGGAUAAUUUAAACUUUUUUAACAAAUAAAAAACUGAAAAGUGGGGCGUGCAAUAUUAUUCGGCCCCCUUGCGUUAAUACUUUGUAGCGCCACCUUUUGCUCCAAUUACAGCUGCAAGUCGCUUGGGGUAUGUUUCUAUCAGUUUUGCACAUCGAGAGACUGACAUUCUUGCCCAUUCUUCCUUGCAAAACAGCUCGAGCUCAGGGAGGUUGGAUGGAGAGCGUUUGUGAACAGCAGUCUUCAGCUCUUUCCACAGAUUCUCGAUUGGAUUCAGGUCUGGACUUUGACUUGGCCAUUCUAACACCUGGAUACGUUUAUUUUUGAACCAUUCCAUUGUAGAUUUGGUUUUAUGUUUUGGAUCAUUGUCCUGUUGGAAGAUAAAUCUCCGUCCCAGUCUCAGGUCUUGUGCAGAUACCAACAGGUUUUCUUCCAGAAUGUUCCUGUAUUUGGCUGCAUCCAUCUUCCCGUCAAUUUUAACCAUCUUCCCUGUCCCUGCUGAAGAAAAGCAGGCCCAAACCAUGAUGCUGCCACCACCAUGUUUGACAGUGGGGAUGGUGUGUUCAGGGUGAUGAGCUGUAUUGCUUUUACACCAAACAUAUCGUUUUGCAUUGUGGCCAAAAAGUUCAAUUUUGGUUUCGUCUGACCAGAGCGCCUUCUUCCACAUGUUUGGUGUGUCUCCCAGGUGGCUUGUGGCAAACUUUAAACGAGACUUUUUAUGGAUAUCUUUGAGAAAUGGCUUUCUUCUUGCCACUCUUCCAUAAAGGCCAGAUUUGUGCAGUGUACGACUGAUUGUUGUCCUAUGGACAGACCUUCCCACCUCAGCUGUAGAUCUCUGCAGUUCAUCCAGAGUGAUCAUGGGCCUCUUGGCUGCAUCUCUGAUCAGUUUUCUCCUUGUUUGAGAAGAAAGUUUGGAAGGACGGCCGGGUCUUGGUAGAUUUGCAGUGGUCUGAUGCUCCUUCCAUUUCAAUAUGAUGGCUUGCACAGUGCUCCUUGAGAUGUUUAAAGCUUGGAAAAUCUUUUUGUAUCCAAAUCCGGCUUUAAACUUCUCCACAACAGUAUCUCGGACCUGCCUGGUGUGUUCCAUGGUUUUCAUAAUGCUCUCUGCACUUUAAACAGAACCCUGAGACUAUCACAGAGCAGGUGCAUUUAUAUGGAGACUUGAUUACACACAGGUGGAUUCUAUUUAUCAUCAUCGGUCAUUUAGGACAACAUUGGAUCAUUCAGAGAUCCUCACUGAACUUCUGGAGUGAGUUUGCUGCACUGAAAGUA